rnacentral:rRNA from 1 species
UGAGGAACAUGACCUUCGGCGGGGGAUAGCCGGCCCAACGGCCGGGUAAUACCGCGUACGACCACAUGGGGGACAUCCCUGAGUGGUGAAAGCAGCAAUGCGCCGAUGGAGUGCCUCGCGGCCUAUCAGCUAGUUGGUGAGGUAACGGCUCACCAAGGCGACGACGGGUAGCCGACCUGAGAGGGUGAUCGGCCACAUUGGAACUGAGACACGGUCCAGACUCCUACGGGAGCAG